rnacentral:rRNA from 1 species
GCCCAGACUCCUACGGGAGGCAGCAGUGGGGAAUAUUGCACAAUGGGGGAAACCCUGAUGCAGCGACGCCGCGUGAGCGAUGAAGUAUUUCGGUAUGUAAAGCUCUAUCAGCAGGGAAGAAGAUGACGGUACCUGACUAAGAAGCCCCGGCUAACUACGUGCCAGCAGCCGCGGUAAUACGUAGGGGGCAAGCGUUAUCCGGAUUUACUGGGUGUAAAGGGAGCGUAGACGGCGAUGCAAGCCAGAUGUGAAAGCCCGGGGCUCAACCCCGGGACUGCAUUUGGAACUGUGUGGCUGGAGUGUCGGAGAGGCAGGCGGAAUUCCUAGUGUAGCGGUGAAAUGCGUAGAUAUUAGGAGGAACACCAGUGGCGAAGGCGGCCUGCUGGACGAUGACUGACGUUGAGGCUCGAAAGCGUGGGGAGCAAACAGGAUUAGAUACCCGCGUA